rnacentral:rRNA from 1 species
GACGAACGCUGGCGGCGUGCUUAACACAUGCAAGUCGAACGGAAAGGCACUGCUUUUGUGGGGUGCUCGAGUGGCGAACGGGUGAGUAACACGUGAGUAACCUGCCCUUGACUUUGGGAUAACUUCAGGAAACUGGGGCUAAUACCGGAUAGGAGCUCCUGCUGCAUGGUGGGGGUUGGAAAGUUUCGGCGGUUGGGGAUGGACUCGCGGCUUAUCAGUUUGUUGGUGGGGUAGUGGCUUACCAAGGCUUUGGCGGGUAGCCGGCCUGAGAGGGUGACCGGCCACAUUGGGACUGAGAUACGGCCCAGACUCCUACGGGAGGCAUCAGUGGGGAAUAGUGCACAAUGGGCGGAAGCCGGAUGCAGCAACGCCGCGUGCGGGAUGACGGCCUUCGGGUUGUAAACCGCUUUCGCCUGUGACGAAGCGUGAGUGACGGUAAUGGAUAAAGAAGCACCGGCUAACUACGUG